CCCUUAAGUCUAAGGGCCAUUGCCAUAAAAAUAAAAGCAGGAUUCGACCUCGUUCGAAUCAAGACGAGGAUGUUAUUUUGAUAAGAUUGAAAUAACACCCUUAAGACUAAGAGCUUACGCCACCAAAGUAAUAGCAGGAUUCGACCUCGUUCAAAUCACAGCGGAUGUUAUUUCGAUAAGUUCGAAAUAACACCUUUAAGGCUAAGGGCCUUCACCAUCAGAGUAAAAGCUGGAUUCGACCACGUUUGAAUCACGACGGGAUGUUAUUUCGAUAAGUUCGAAAUAACACCCUUAAGGCUAAGGGCCUUCGCCAUCAAAAUAAAAGCAGGAUUCGACCUCGUUCGAAUCACGACGGGUUGUUAUUGUUAAUUUUGAAAUAACACCCUUGAGGCUAAUGGCCUUCGCCAUCAGAGUAAAAGCAGGAUUCGACCUCGUUCGAAUCACGAUGGGAUGUUAUUUUGAUAAGUUCGAAAUA
rnacentral:lncRNA from 1 species